GACGAACGCUGGCGGCGUGCCUAACACAUGCAAGUCGAACGCUGAUGACCUGGCUUUUGUUGGGUUGGAUGAGUGGCGAACGGGUGAGUAACACGUGAGUAACCUGCCCUCUUCUUUGGGAUAACGCCCGGAAACGGGUGCUAAUACUGGAUAUUCACUGAUCUUCGCAUGGGGGUUGGUGGAAAGGUUUGUUCUGGUGGGGGAUGGGCUCGCGGCCUAUCAGCUUGUUGGUGGGGUGAUGGCCUACCAAGGCUUUGAGGGGUGUCCGGCCUGAGAGGUGGACUGGUCACUUUGGGACUGAGAUACGGGCCAGACGCCUACGGGGGGGAGCUUGGGGAAGUUGUGACAAGGGGUGAAAGCCUGAUGCUGCGACGCCGUGUUUGGGUUGGAGGCCUGCCGUUUAAACCUCUUGCGCGCAUGGCAUGCCCGUUGUGGGGUGGUUGAGGUUAGUGCGGAUGAUGUUUUGCUUUGUGUUUGGAGGUUGUGUGUUGUGGUGAUCUUGUGAGUGGGUGAGGUUAGGUUUUAGGUUUGCCUAUUUUUUACAUGUAUGAUCUGCGUACUGAUGUAUGUUUGUGUUUUUUUGUGUGUUUUGUGGGUGUUGUGUGAGUGUGUGUGUUUGUGUUGUUGCUUCUGUGUACUGUUGCAUAGUGUUGUGGUGUGUUUGUGUGUGUGUGUGCCUAUGGUGCACUAUGCGCUGCGCUGUGGUGUAGUAGUGUGUGUCAUCGUGUAGCGUGUGGUGAUUGCGUAUGCCGUGCUGUGCUGUCGUAAAUAAAAAAAAAGAAAAAAAUGAUGUAGUGUUGUGUGU
rnacentral:rRNA from 1 species